GCCUUCGUGGUGUAACGGUAACAAACUCGGCGUGUAUUUGAGAGGUCCAGGUUCGAAUCCCGGCGAGAGCG
rnacentral:tRNA from 1 species